CCUACGGGGGGCAGCAGUGGGGAAUAUUGCACAAUGGGCGCAAGCCUGAUGCAGCCAUGCCGCGUGUGUGAAGAAGGCCUUCGGGUUGUAAAGCACUUUCAGCGGGGAGGAAGGCGUUAAGGUUAAUAACCUUGGCGAUUGACGUUACCCGCAGAAGAAGCACCGGCUAACUCCGUGCCAGCAGCCGCGGUAAUACGGAGGGUGCAAGCGUUAAUCGGAAUUACUGGGCGUAAAGCGCACGCAGGCGGUCUGUCAAGUCGGAUGUGAAAUCCCCGGGCUCAACCUGGGAACUGCAUUCGAAACUGGCAGGCUAGAGUCUUGUAGAGGGGGGUAGAAGUCCAGGUGUAGCGGUGAAAUGCGUAGAGAUCUGGAGGAAUACCGGUGGCGAAGGCGGCCCCCUGGACAAAGACUGACGCUCAGGUGCGAAAGCGGGGGGAGCAAACAGGAUUAGAUACCCGUGUAGUC
rnacentral:rRNA from 1 species